rnacentral:rRNA from 1 species
UCCCGCGUAAUUUAAGCAUAUUAAUAAGCGGAGGAAAAGAAACUAACAAGGAUUCCCUUAGUAGCUGCGAGCGAACAGGGAGGAGCCCAGCACUGAAUCCUGCGCGCAAAGCACGCGUCUGGAAAUGUAGUGUUUGGGAGGGCCCGAUUAUCUCGCCGGUGGGCGUCCGUCCAAGUCCGUCUUGAAAGCGGCCACAGCCCGUAGAGGGUGCCAGGCCCGUAUGACGACGCAUACAAACACCGGCGAAAGGGUCUCAGAGUUCAAGAGUACGUGAAACCGUUUGGGGGUAAACGGGCGAGAUCUGGAAAAUCGAAGCGAGAGAUUCACGUCCGCACGCCUUGCGUAUCGUGGCUCCCGUCGAUGGUCGCGUGUCGUCCGCCGUGUCGUGCCGCAAGGUACGUGCGCGCGUGUCGCUCCGUCACGACGGUAGGGUCUACGUUCGUCGGCGUCGGGCUGCACUUCUCUCGUUGUAGUACGUCGCGACCCGUUGGGCGUGUGUCAAUUGGGGCCCGCCGUGGAGGUGGUUCGUGCGUGGCGGCGUGUCGCGACCUCGGUCGUGUCCCCCCCGCAUAGCCAACCGUGCGGUCGCCCGACACACUCUGGCCCGACGGUUACGAGUUGUGAACGGAGUUGGCGUUUCGCAAAAGACUUACCNNNNNNNNNNNNNNNNNNNNNNNNNNNNNNNNNNNNNNNNNNNNNNNNNNNNNNNNNNNNNNNNNNNNNNNNNNNNGACCCGUCUUGAAGCACGGACCAAGGAGUCUAACAUGUACGCGAGUCAUUGGGACCGCACUAAACCUAAAGGCGAAAUGAAAGUAAAGGUCGCGGCGCAAGCCCGGCCCACAGAGGGGAGACGUCCGCGCGCCGAGAGGCCGCGGUCAGCAUCCCCGGGGCGUCUCGUUGUCAUUGCGACACAGUAGGCGCACCCAGAGCGUACACGUUGGGACCCGAAAGAUGGUGAACUAUGCCUGGUCAGGUCGAAGUCAGGGGAAACCUGGCACUCGGAGUUUAUCACGUAGUGUCGUCGUUGCCUAGCGCAAUAGACACACCACCAGUCUCAUCUGGUAAAGCGAAUGAUUAGAGGCCUUGGGGCCGAAACGACCUCAACCUAUUCUCAAACUUUAAAUGGGUGAGAAAGUCGACUUGCUUAAAUGUAUGAAGUCGACGCGUCCCGCUGCGGCGGGCGCGUGAGCGGAUGAACGAGUGCCAAGUGGGCCAUUUUUGGUAAGCAGAACUGGUGCUGUGGGAUGAACCAAACGUCGAGUUAAGGCGCCUAAAACGAUGCUCAUGGGAUACCAUGAAAGGCGUUGGUUGCUUAACGAUGUUGAUGUGCUGUCGAAUAAGUAUUAACUAUGGUUGUGCUUGACCACAUCGGCGAAAGGGAAUCCGUUUCCUAUUACGGAACCCAGCUGCGGAACCGACCAUGCGGGCCAAUGCGAAACCGUGACUCACCGUAUGUACCGCCCGCCCCGUGUUGUGUCUAAUCGCACUCACGGACGUGGGAAACGGCAUGCGCGUCACGUCGUCUAGCAACUCGUCGGGGUAACCCAAAGGGACCCGGAGACGCCGCCGGACGAUCGAGGCAGAGUUUUCUGUUCUGCAUAAGCAUUCGAGUUCCCUGGAAUCGCCUAGCGCGGAGAUAGGGUUUGGAAUGCGAAGAGCACCGCACUUGCGGCGGUGUCUCGAUCUGUCUCGCGGACCUUGAAAAUCCGGGAGAGGGCCACGUGGAGGUGUCGCGCUGGAUCGUACCCAUAUCCGCAGCAGGUCUCCAAGGUGAGCAGCCUCUAGUCGAUAGAA